UACAGGGGGUGCGAGCGUUGUCCGGAAUCAUUGGGCGUAAAGGGUGCGUAGGCGGCGCGGUAAGUCGGGUGUGAAAUCUCGGGGCUUAACUCCGAAACUGCAUUCGAUACUGCCGUGCUUGAGGACUGGAGAGGAGACUGGAAUUUACGGUGUAGCGGUGAAAUGCGUAGAUAUCGGGAGGAACACCAGUGGCGAAGGCGGUUGCCUGGAGCUUUGCUGACGCUGAGGCGCGAAAGCGUGGGGAGCGAUCCGG
rnacentral:rRNA from 1 species